AGUAUUUGUAACGUCUUGGUCGGUCUAGGUCCUUAACUACUAUUGUCUAAGUWCGUAACGGUUAACAGGUAAGCAGCUUGCUGCUUCGCUGACGAGUGGCGGACGGGUGAGUAAUGUCUGGGAAGCUGCCUGAUGGAGGGGGAUAACUACUGGAAACGGUAGCUAAUACCGCAUAAUGUCGCAAGACCAAAGAGGGGGACCUUCGGGCCUCUUGCCAUCGGAUGUGCCCAGAUGGGAUUAGCUUGUUGGUGGGUAACGGCUCACCAGGGCGACGAUCCCUAGCUGGUCUGAGAGGAU
rnacentral:rRNA from 1 species